UACGGAGGUGGCAAGCGUUACUCGGAAUCAUUGGGUGUAAAGGGCAAGUAGGUGGUCUGUUAAGUGAGGGGUGAAAUCCUGCGACUCAAUCGCAGAACUGCCUUUCAAACUGGCAGACUUGAGGGUGGAAGAGGACAAUGGAAUUCUCGGUGUAAGGGUGAAAUCUGUAGAUAUCGAGAAGAACACCAGCGGCGAAGGCGAUUGUCUGGUCCAUACCUGACACUAAAUUGCGAAAGCUAGGGGAGCAAACAGA
rnacentral:rRNA from 1 species